CCAGUGUAUUCCCACCUAGUGGGGUCUGGGGGGGUAAGAUGUACGCAGUCCAUACCUCUACCUCUGAUGAAGUAGAAAGGCUAUUUCCGAUAGACCCCCAGCUCAAGGCACGAGAUACCACACAAACACAUAGUGCAGCACAGAAGCAGAUUACAUAACAUAAAUAUGGCACCCAUAAGUAAUAUAAAGUAGAGGAAAGCAGGGGAAAGCACACAGAUUCGUAAUACAACAUGGAACACGGAACACGGAAUCAUGACAAGAAUAAAACCCCCACCAAGUAAUUCCCUACACUAGCGACCCGAACUGGCCCUUAUCCUCUGCCGUAAUUCGCGUCCUCCAGACCUUCCUAUCUAGGGUCAUGUCCUCGGUGAGCUGUAACUGUUCCAUGUCCCGCCUAAUCACCUCNNNNN
rnacentral:lncRNA from 1 species